CAGAAGUGAGCGCGUAGAAGAAGAAGAACAACUUUAUUGUAGAAUAAAACGCUCAAUGGGUGGAGCCCCUAGACAAGGGCCCCACUGGCUUCCGCGCGCCGUCUUGCUUGUCGGAUGAUGGCCCUUUGGACCUCUUUCUUUGAGCUGGACAGCGCCGCCUCCCAUUGUGUAUGCUCCGCAAUUUCUGUGUUUGUCUUUUGUGGAUAUGCCGUGCAUGCCCACGAGAUGUGGUCUAAGGUUGACGUGGCUCCGCACCAUGGGCAUGUGUCCGUAUAUCUUUCCGGAUGAAUUUUAUGGAGAAUGUGCAGCUUUCUCCAUAUAACCUGUUCUUCCUUAGUGAGAUUCUUAUCUGGGGGUGGUAGCUUCAUUCUAUUUCCUCUGUGAUAGUUUAAAAUUGCAGAGUAGUUCUGGUCAAUCGGGAUCGGGUCGUCAGAGGCUUCCUGUGAGCACCCGUGGGGUGUAGCAUGUGCACGGGCUACUCUGUCAGCCUCUUCGUUUCCCCUGAUUCCCUCAUGACCGGGUAUCCAUAAAAGGUGAAAUCUGGCUCGGGGUUUUAUAUCUUGCAUAAUCCUAUAGGCUGCGGUGCAUACUCGUCCCCUGAGGUAGCUUCUGCAUGCCGCUUGAGAGUCUGAUAGGAUGGUUAUUUGUUGUUGGUUUGGUUUUGUCGCUUUGAUAGCAAGGGCUAUUGCGAUUUCUUCUGCUUCCACGAUAGUGGUGUUGUGAGUGGAGGCGCUGAUGAUUUCUCUGCCCAUGUAGUCAGUGACAGCAGCUACCGUUCUUUUCUGCCUGCCUGGGUAUCUUGCCGCGUCCACGAAGCAGGAGUUUGGUUUGUCGCCGUGCGUUUUUUCAAUGUAUGCAGCUCUGGCUUCUCUUCUGCCUGCAUGUAGAGUUGGGUCCAUAUUUAUGGGUAUUGGCACCACUUUGAUGCAGUUUCUGAUUAUUGUGGGGAUGGGCUUAGUUUGGUUGUGUUUUUCAAGGAGCUCGUGAUACUUGAGUCUGCCAAGGAGUUUCCUACCCGUGGUCGUUUGUGCGAGUCUGUUUCUUUGAGUUAUCAGCUGAGCGUCUGCCAGUUCCUCGAAUGUAUUAUGAAUUCCUAGAGACAUGAGUUUUUCGGUUGGGGCGCACUGCGAAAUUUGUAGGGCGAUCUUGUAGGCUUUCCUUAAGCACGAAUUGAUCGCAUCCCUCUCUGUUUUCGUUAGCUGGUAAUACGGCAAGCUGUAAAUGAAGCGGCUAACCACCAGACUUCUUAUUAGGCAAAGGGUGUUCUUAUCCUUCAUCCCCGUCCUUUUCAUGGCUACCCGCUUUAUCAUUCUCGCGACUUGUUGUGUUGCCGUCUUGAUGAGGUUAAACUGUCCCCCUCAAAGGCGGGUUGGUUACGAUGACUUUGGACGCUCCGAAUUGGUCGGCGGUGAACUGCUGUGUUCCGUCACCUAGGGAUUUCAGGAGGACAGUGUAUUUAAGGAACUGUUGGCAGCUCUUCAGGGUGCAUUUCUUUUUCAGUCAUGUUAGACUGAUGAACUGUAACAUUCUCAUGCAGAUACUGUAAAUAAAUCCCAGAUUCCUUGUUCUUGAUGAGAACAAGUCUCUCCCUUCAACAACGUCCUCAGUAUGGAUAAGUUUGAUGACCGCAUGGGCCAGCUACCAUCUAUUUCAUGCCCGACUCCAACCAUUACACCUGUCACUGCACUCAUCGAUGCAGGAGCACAUCUUUCUAUUAUAAGUGCUGCCUUCCGAUGACGACUGAAAAAGCACUUCACCCCAGCGUCAGCACGCGUUGGUCGCGUUGCGGAUGGCGGUACUGUGCCUAUCAUCAGCAUAUGUACGGCAUGUGUCAGCAUCGCCGGCCGCCACACUCCUGUUUUCUUCACUGUAAUUGCUCAUUGCCCCAUGACCUAAUUCUCGGACUCGAUUUUCUCUCUGCGCAUCCUGCUCUUAUUGACUGCUCUGCCAGUACCCUUUGCCUUGAGGUGCCGAUUCUCGUAGAACCUUCUAACGCACCCCAGUGCCGCUUACACCCCACCUGCUUUAUUCGCCUGCCACCGAAGUCAACAGCCUAUACUGAAUUGUUGUGUUGCCCACCUGUUCCUGAUGGCGAGUACCUCGUCACUCCCCUGCCCAACAUUCCACUACAGUAUGACAUCACCGUGCCUCACAGCAUUCUGACUGUUACUGCUAACCAUACUCGCAUGCCUAUCUUUAACUUUGGAUUGGGAAAGCAAAUCCUACUGCAAGGUAUUUGCCUUGUCAACGUUGAUUGUCUCGGCAACCAUCACGUAGCAGCUUUAUCAACCGAUGGUUCUUCUGAGCUUAGCAGGCCCCUCGCACCAGCCUCGGGCACCGAUGCCAACAUAAAGAAAAUCGUUGCGGUGGACCUGUUCUCUGCGCAGGCUGACAGCCUUUGCAAAGUAUUAUCGUCCUACCGAGAUAUUUUUUACUUCAAACGAUCGCCCUUUAGGCCAGACGCUCGCGGUCCAGCAUUGGAUUUCUACUGGCGAUGCUACGCCUAUUCACCGAUGACCAUAUCAAGUUUCUGCAUCGGAACGCCGAGUAAUUCUAACUGAAGUGAACAAAAUGCUAGAUAAAAACAUCAUUAAGCUUUCUUCGAGUCCCUGGGCGUCACCUGUGGUUUUGGUUAAGAAGGACGGCACGUGGCGCUUCUGUGUGGACUACCGUCAGCUGAACAAAAUUACUAUAAAGGACGUCUACCCGCUCCCAAAUAUGCUCAAUCAGCUUAGUAAGUUUUAAAAAGUAGGGUACGCUGUUCACUCCAUAGAGAAAUGUUUUGCGUUCCUGGUUCAUUGGCCUUGAGACGAAAUUGACCUCACUGUACAGAACUAUAACAUGGUUGAACUUCAAAAGUUCCUCCCAUGAGAAUGCAAAGCUCUCCAGUAGGAUGGGUGCAGUUGUCUAAUGUGGCUAUCACUAAUAUUACCCACAGUCAAGAUUCUAUGGCACAUAUGUUUCUUUGACUAACAAGGCCAACUUAAAGCAAGAUGUGUGUUUUAACACCAUAGAUCAGCAGCACAUAAGCUCCACCUUAAAUGUGCUUGUUCACCUAAAUCUGCCUGCAUUUGGAAAGGUAGUGCAAACGUUAAAAUUAAAUUAAAUUGUGGGGUUUUACGUGCCAAAACCACUUUUGCCAAAACCACUCAACAUAUCAGACGGAUAUGUUGAGCUAACAAUGUGUACUGAUUGUAUAAGGCGAGCAAGCUGCAGAGAAUUGCUAAGCUUGAUGUGCAAACCUCAUUUCUCAGGCAAAUAAAUUGUGCAAUGUCUUGUUUUAUUAUUGAUGACUGCUCUGCCAGUCUGCCUGAGUUGUCAUUUUUUUGUAUUUAUCAUAAAGCAGACAAUUUCAUGUUUUUGUAGUUGUGUGACACAGAGUCAUUUGUUUCUUUACAGCUGUCGUCUUCUCGGAAGCAGGCACUGAUGCUUGGAGACCUGCAGAGCACAAACUGCAGCAUGUAUGCCGAAAUAAACAGCUGUUGCCUAUUUCAAAUAAAACCAAUGUCAGGUGUGGCGAGCCCGGGAGACAGCAAGAGCCGCAGGAGUCCUGGACUAAGGGCGCCUCCCACACAAGCAGAAAUACACCUGCUUUUCCUUUCUUUUCUUUAAUACAAUAGUUUACUUGACUUGGAGGCAGUUUUAUCUCGGGAGCUCCUAUAUGAAUACAUGGGAAAAGAGAAAUAGUUUUUCUCUGAAGCCAGCAAUGGAAUUCGAUGAGGUUGGUUACACGUUAAAAGAAACAAAAAAAAAAGCUGAAAUGUAGCCACUGUUUUAGGGGGCAAUGCUUUGUGGCAGGAAAUUUUGAAAAUUGUGAAAUUAAAAAGACUUUCGUAUAAAGUUUACAACUUGAUACAAAAGCUAUGACAUUGUAAACUUCGUGCUUAUAUUUUUUAAGCUUACUGACUCUCAGCAAUUUUUCCUAAAUAUUCAAGGUCCUAAAUCAAAAUUAUGCAGCCUAGAAUGACUAAAAUUUAACUUUUUCUCUCAAAUGCAACAAAUUUCAUUGAAAUUAUUCGGGUAGUUGUCUCAAAAGCAUUUCUGCAUUUUACAUGUAUUUGAAUAAAGAGAUUAGAGUUGGCACUGAACUAUAGCACCCUCCUCAAGGUAAGCACGUCAAUUCUGGCCGUAAGGCCAGUUAUCAGUCGACACUCUACACUAUAAAAGAGAAUUGCCUUUUUUUACACUUUUCCAGCAAUUCCAACUUAGUAGCAUGCUUCACUGAAUGCAGCUAGGAAGAAGGAAAUUUGACAAUAUUUAGUUUAUGUGCAGAAUUAAUGCAUUUGUAUGUCACUGAAUUUUGGCCUUCAUGAGCAUUCAUAUCCUUGAAUUUUUUUCAAUGUUGAAUCUAACAUUUGAAUCAAUUGAAUCAAAGCAGCCAUCAGGCCACCAAGCAACGUAAGGGCAAAUAAGAACUUCAUGUGGAAGCACUUAAAAGGUCUGUUCAAUUCACCUGCACAACUGUGAACCAGUUAACGGAGGUUCACAAGAAGUUCAGAAAUUGUGCAGCUUGUUUCUGCGGUGCAGGCACAGCGCAACACUCGAAACGAAUGGCAAGGUGCAGAUGCGGUGCAGGUGUUAUGUUAUGCCCAAUUAAUGUGCACAGAGUGCGUACAUUUGAAAGAUCGUGAACUACAAGUAUCAGCUUGUGGGCCUAACUACAAACCACACUUGUAGACACAUCAGACGUGCGUAAGCGGGCUUUUAAUGGCGCUUGCACCCAUGUGCUGGAUUUUCUGCUGCACUACUGCGUCGCACCUGUAUGCCUGUACCAAGUCGGCACUGACAGCGGAGUAGGUGCAGCAAAAUCAUGAACCAGCCCUGCACCUUUUGAAACGAACGGAGUGGUUCAGCGGGCGCCACUGGAACAAAUGGCUGGGUGCAACACGUCGAGAACUCGUUCAGGCGGUGCAGGCGAAUCGAACGCACCUAAAGUAAAGCACAUUGUGGGGCGCUAUAACAUAAAAUGAUUUCAAACUGUUUUGAUUCCAAUCUCCUGACAUCAAAUUUACGUAACCACCGGUGCAAGCAUUGGGCAGUGACCUGCAGCGUGGUCUGAACAACCCAAUCAAACACUCUCUUCGUUUAUAGGAGGUCACCUUUGUUCACUUUCAAAACCAAUAACAUUGCCUACAGACAGACAGACAGACAAUGAACUUUAUUUGAUCCUGAGGAGCUUCAGCGGAGGCCCCUAUCGGGGACCCGCGGAAGCCGCUGGCCGCGUCCAAGUCGGGGCAGAAACACCGUGAUGUUCCGCCCUUUCUCGGGCCCUCUGGAUUGCCUCUAGUUGUGUCUGGAGCGAUGGGCUCCGGAGUGCCUCUUCCCAGUCGGCUUCGCUGGAGAGAGGGCCGUUAGGUAACGCGGGGCAUUGCCAGAGCAUGUGCGCUAAGGAACAAUAGAUCUCAUUACAGUCCGGACAGCUCGAAUCGACGUCUCUGUAGAUACGGCUGAGAAAGCCCAGCGAAGGGAAUGAGCCCGUCUGGAGCAUUCUAAGUAAAACUGUCUGAGACCUGUCUAACUUCGGGUGAGGAAGAGGAUAGGCCCUUCUGCUAAGCCGAUAGUGAGAUGUUAUCUCGUGAAAAGUAAGGAGCGGAUCGUUCUGCUGGAUUUCAUCCUGUCCCCAUAAGGCCUCCAUGCCGCCGCGGCGUGUUAGAUCUCGCGCACGGUCAUGGGCAAGCUCGUUGAGGUUAGGUAUGUUCUGAUGAACGUCCGCACCCAUAUGGGCGGGAAACCAAGAGAUGAAGUGAGUGCCAGGGUUUGUUCUCUUUUCCAGAAUGGAGGCAGCCUCGUGGGCUAGGUUACCCGAUUCGAAAGCUUUGAUGGCCGCUCGUGAGUCGGUGAAAACGUUGGUGCGCGAGGGGUCGGUCAUGGCCAGGGCUAUGGCGACCUGUUCCGCGACUCCACUUGAAGCAAACCUAACCGACGCCGAGGAGCGUAAUUCCCCUUUGCCGUCAAUGAUUGCCAAAGCGAACGUGCUAGAGUUGCCGUACUGAGCCGCGUCGACAAAGACAGUCGAAUCCUGAUUCUCACUGGCCUUCUGUAAAAUCGCCCGUGCUCGGGCUUUUCGUUUCCCUACAUUGUAUUGCGGGUGCAUAUUCCGAGGGAAUGGGCUGACCACAAAGGUUGCCCGUGCCUCCCUGGAUAAGGUGAUUUUCCGUUCAUUGAGUAUUCUUGGAGCCAUGCCGGCCUCGUCUAGGAUGCGUCUCCCUGCCCUGGUUGACGAGAGCCUGACUACCUGAGCGGUGACCUGCGCUUUGAGUGCCUACACUCAGCGGUUUUUCUUAUCUAAUUGGCUGACAAGAGGCGAGGAGUACGGUCUAGUGGAGAGGGUUUGGAUGGGACUGAGCCAGCACAGUAAAAAUAGAUAACCACAUGAAGAGGGUGGUGCUGGCUUCUCCGAUUGGUCCGCUUCACCUUACUUGGCUUGCGGUGGCUGGUCGAAAAUCGCGGCGGCUUGCAACAGAAGGAUAAGAAUGCCGCUAAAACGGAUCCUCAGCAAGGAAGAGUUGGCAGAGCUGCAGAGUUGGCAGAGCUGUUAGAGAUGCUGUAUACAUGCCGCAAGGGCUCGAUAACGUUUUACUGUCAUGCAAAAAGGUUUAUCAUGUGAAAAUAAAUACAUGCUGACCGGCAGGUGCGAGUAGCGAGGGCCUGAGCGAUCGGCGGGCAGCCAUCUUCUAUUCCUUUCAGAACGGGGCAGUCUCUGGCUAUUCAGAAAAAGUUUCAGUUUUGUUUGGCAUAUUAAUGCAUUUUUUUUCGCGUACACGUCACUUUGAUGCAGUGAGUUUUUGCUGUUUUGUGAGGUCGCGUGACAGACAGGCGAGGUGGGUGUCGCCCAAAAACAUUAAACCAAUAGCAGAGGGCUAAUGGUGAAAAGGCGUUGAAUCAGGAAUAAUUAUUUUUCUUUUGUGCGGUUUAAUCAUUCAUUAUCAGUGUGUACAUGUAUAUCAGGUGGAGAGCCAUCACGGUUUUCGUGACGUCGCGUGACAGACGAGUGAAGUUUGGAGUGGCCUGAAAAAGUUUUGACCAAUCGUGGUGGGCUGAUUGCAGAAUUGGAAUAGAAAAGUUUGGAAUCAUUUUAUGUUAUAGCACCGCAGGAUUCUACAGGGGGUCAUAGAAUUAGACUUCCAUGCAGAUGGCCAACCUCGCAAGGUUCACACGGCUGACGUAAUGAAGUCAACCUAAGCUGAUCUCAACCUCCCAAAGUGAUGCAACAUUGGUUGGCUGUUAAAAUUUUUUAGCUAUGGCAGUGGCAACCUCAUGGACAAAUUUAAGGUUGAGUGAGGUCGAAUGCUCGGUGAGGUUAUAUUUCACAGCAGCUGAUGUGCACAUUUCCACCUCAUGAAUAAAUAUGUGGAAAGUUUUAUGAUUUUACUGAUAUGAAGGGGUAAUUAUUUAUUACAACAGAUCUGGAAGUGGGCUUCACCCCAAGCCACCUGAGGCUUUGUUUUCAAUUUGUAUAGACAGCUCUCAUCACAUAUGAAGCAUAGUUGUACAUUUCUUUUGCUGUACUUCAGAUGUGUGACACCACCGCAGUUGGAUAUCUUGCAUCGGCCUGUAUCCUCUGACCUUACUUUUAAAAGACAGUGAGUCACAUGCCAAACUUCUUCCUCGUCGAGUAUUCCUGCUCUAAACUAACAAAUGACAGUUGCUGCCUCUCAUUCAGUGUUGGCCAAAGACACCUAGCCAGAAUCUUGGUACUGAAUAAUGAAACUACGCAAGACAAACAUUCUUCUUCUGGUAUGUUGCCUGUAGGGAACAACUGUCAAUUAAGGGCUAAUGAGAAAUAAAUUAAAAACUGAAAUACAGUAGAACCUCGUUGAUACGAUCUUCACAGGAACUGGAAAAUAAAGUGUAUCAUAGGAAAAUCGUAUCAUCCAACAUAUUAUCCAACCAAAUUGGAUUUUCGGGAAAAGAAAAACAAAAUUUAACAUUUCGAAAAAUGUAUUAAGCAGAAUCGUAUCGAGGUUCCACUUUAUAAAAAGAAACGGCACUGAAAUUGGCUGUAGAAAAGUUAGUAAAUUACUAACUGCGCUCUGAAGCUUGUCACAAUUUUUUCUAGAGUUUAGAAGUCUAGGACCUUGAUUUAACGCAAGAAAUGAAUAGUCAAAAAUAUUGUUACGGUGAAGGGAAGGAAGAAGUUGGAUUAGACUAGACGAAGUCUGGCAGUUGCCUGAAUGCCAUUAACAUCAGUUGUAAAUAUACAUUAUUUUACACUUGUGGGCCUGCUUUUUUCCUGCAACAUUUCGGUGGAAGUGCUGGGUACAAUCACGGAACUUCGCAGCGGACGUCAUCUACCUGCCGCCACAAUGGCAAAUCAACCGGACGAUACCAACGCAGACUCGGACAUCAGUGUACUAUCCCUCUCCGGCUUCCUCCAUAUUGGCGAUGAGCAGCGGAAAGAUCCUGUUCUUCGAACACUUAUGGAACACCUAAGCUCCUCGCCCAAUGACCCAUCCCUCCGGAUGUUCACCUUGUGCGAUGGAACUUUAUACCGUUGCAGCGUUCGUCCAGACGGCCCGGAGCUCCUCCUAGUCGUUCCCAAGCACCUUCGACUCGCCUUGCUCCAGCAAGUUCACGACGCUCCUUCUGGCCCGGCAUUUAUCGCUCUGUGCGCCGUUAUGUCGCUUCUUGCGACCUGUGUCAGCGCCGAAAGACGCCUGCUAUGCCUCCUGCUGGUUUGCUGCAACCAAUUGAUAUCCCUAAAGAGCCCUUUUACUGGGUGGGCCUAGACCUCCUUGGCCCCUUUCCAAUUUCCAUCAAAGGGGAGUGGUGAGUGCUUAUGUAUACAUGAGACAGUUGCCUCGCUAGAGCCGCUCAUCAUCAUCAUCCAUCCCAAUACUUUCACUCCCCUUCCCUCUUCCCCAGUGCAGAGUAGCAGACUAGAGCGCACUAGCUCAGGUCGACCUCUCUGUCUUUCCAAUCAAUAAAUUCUAUUCUAUUCUAUAUUCCAUCAAAGGAAACAAAUGGAUUGCUGUAGCAACGAUUAUGCCACGAGAUAUGCCAUCGCACAAGCGCUACCAACCAGCUGCGCUACAGAUGUCGCCGACUUCUUACUAUACGACGUCGUCCUGCACCACGGCGCCCCUCACCAGUUGCUGAUGAAUCGUGGCCGCUACUUUCUAUCGAAGGUCGUCGACGAUCUGCUCCGCUCCUGUUCUACAGAACACCAGAGUGCUACCGCGUACCACGCUCAAAUGAACGGCCUCACCGAGCGACUCAAUCGCAAGCUAACUGAAAUGCUGGCCAUGUACGUUUCCGACGAUCACCGCGACUGGGACGUCGCUUUACCAUACAUCACUUUUGCAUACAACUCGUCCCGUCACGACACUGCCGGAUUUUCACCAUUUUACCUGCUGUAUGGCCGCGACCCCACCUUGCCCUUUGACAUGUUGCUACCUUCCGCAGUACAAUCACCCAGCACUGGUUACGCUCGCGAUGCUAUUGACUUAGCCGCCCAGGCCCGAGAAGUAGCCCAUUAUCGCCUCACAGUCUCGAAAGCUUCUCAAAAGCGAUGCUACGACCUUCGGCACCGAGACUCCCAUUUUUCACCUGGUUCCCUUGUCCUUCUCUGGACGCCUUCACGUCGCGUCGGCUUGUCGGAAAAACUACUGUGCCGUUAUUCUGGUCCGUACCAGAUCUUACACCAACUUUCCAACGUGACAUGCGAGAUCGCCCCAGUCGGUCAGCCUUCAGUGCCUUCCAACCUCAUUAGCGAUGUUGUUCACGUCGCCAGGCUGAAGCCCUAUGUCCCCCCAUUAAGUGAUGCCCUAUAACUUGCACCGGGACGGAGCUACCCCGCCGGGAAGGUGAUGUUACGGUGAAGGGAAGGAAGAAGUUGGAUUAGACUAGAUGAAGACGAAGUCUGGCAGUUGCCUGAAUGCCAUUAACAUCAGUUGUAAAUAUACAUUAUUUUACACUCGUG